GACGUCGAUAUUCGACGUCAUAAACACGAUCAAAUUUGGUGUUUAUGACGUCGAUAUUCGACGUCAUAAACACGAUCAAAUUUGGUGUUUAUGACGUCGAUAUUCGACGUCAUCAACACGAUCAAAUUCGGUGUUUAUGACGUCGAUAUUCGACGUCAUAAACACGAUCAACUUUGGUGUUUAUGACGUCGAUAUUCGACGUCAUAAACACCAUCAAGUUUGGUGUUUAUGACGUCGAUAUUCGACGUC
rnacentral:miRNA from 1 species